GAGGGUGAAGUGUUAACGGUAUGCACGGCUGUCUUCCAAACAGCAAGAGCGAGUUCGAUUCUCGUCACCCUCA
rnacentral:tRNA from 1 species